CAAAACAUUCCGCCGUGGACCGGGGUAUCUGCAGAUUGUGCAGGAGAGAUGUGGAGUUGCAUACUCUUGUUUAUCUACUCUUGAUGCUAGUGAUAUGAUAUGGCCACAAGUACAAAACCAAGAGUAGGCAACCUUGUGAUCUUGUCUAAGGGCAGAAUUCAGUCAUUCAUUGUCAUUUGGUUCGCUGAUGCCAUCAUGCGAAGCCAGUUUUAAAGCGUGCAAAGAAUUUCUACAUCGCAGCUGCAAUCGUCGAAGCAGAACAACAAGCACAAUUGCUUGCACGUUGAGCCUGAGGACGUGAUACUGUAAAAGCGGAAAAAUUCGGUGGAGAUUUAUUCUCGGUACCUUCGGUAUUCAGCUGAGUAGGUAAUUUUGACCUAAAAUUCAACAAGCGUAUGCCACCCAUUGUGCAAAAUGCAUUUUUAGAUCUGGAAAACUGGUUUACCGAAAUUUUCGCGCUACUGAACCGUUGAUUUUGGGAACUGCCGAAAUGAUUACACCUUCGAAAAUUCCCAGUUUUACAGUGAUGAACUGUAGAUGACAAACGGGGAAAGGCCUGUGCAUGUCUGGAUCAUACUUCCACCAGGAUUGUGAUGCAGUGCAAAGAACUCCGGCUUGAGCCCUUAACAGUUCAAGAUAGGAAUCUUCACUCUUGGAUGUGUACUUUUGACAUUACCUAGCUGAUAAUUGUACAGUGGUUGUUAUUUUCUUGGCUAUUGAUGUCAUGACUUUCAAACCAUAUCUAUAAUAUCCGUUCUUGUCUACAUGUAUCUGUUCCCGCACACUUCCUCUGUGUGCUGGUUGCAUAUUUUGGUGGUGUUUCUUGAUGUAUGUAGGCAGCAGUCACUCUCAUCUUUCUGUCUCUAUUCUUGUUUGCGGCAGAUUCGAUGGAGGUUGGCUGGAGAUUGAGAUUGGAUGUAGGUUUGCGGCUGGUCAAUGUCAUUGAGUUCAGCUCUCGAGUUUUAACAAUAUUAAUAUUUUA